GUUGUUCGGAAUUACUGGGCGUAAAGGGUUCGUAGGUGGCCAACUAAGUCAGACGUGAAAUCCCUCAGCUUAACUGGGGAACUGCGUCUGAGACUGGAUGGCUUGAGUGCAGGAGAGGAACGCGGAAUUCCAGGUGUAGCGGUGAAAUGCGUAGAUAUCAGGAGGAACACCGGUGGCGAAGGCGGGUCUCUGGGCCGUAACUGACGCUGAGGAGCGAAAGCGUGGGGAGCGAACAGG
rnacentral:rRNA from 1 species